rnacentral:ncRNA from 14 species
CCAACGGCCCUCUUUAGGGCCACAAUUUUUCAGAAUCCAUGUCAC